rnacentral:rRNA from 1 species
CAGAGGUGCCAAGCGUUAGGCGGAAUCACUGGGCUUAAAGCGUGUGUAGGCGGAAUGGUAAGUACCUUGUGAAAUCCCACGGCUCAACCGUGGAACUGCUUGGUAUACUGCUUUUUCUUGAGCCACUUAGGGGCUGUCGGAACAAACGGUGGAGCGGUGAAAUGCGUAGAUAUCGUUUGGAACGCCAACGGUGAAAACAGACAGCUGGGAGUGUGCUGACGCUGAGACACGAAAGCCAGGGGAGCGAACGGGAUUAGAUACCCCGGUAGUCCUGGCCCUAAACGAUGUCGACUAGAUCGUAGCGCCUCUGACGGUAUUACGGUCGAAGUCAAAAGUGCUAAAGUCGACCGCCUGGGAAGUACGGUCGCAAGGCUA